rnacentral:rRNA from 1 species
UACGUAGGGUGCGAGCGUUAAUCGGAAUUACUGGGCGUAAAGCGUGCGCAGGCGGUUCGUUGUGUCCGUCGUGAAAGCCCCGGGCUUAACCUGGGAACUGCGAUGGAAACUAGCGAGCUGGAGUGUGGCAGAGGGGGGUGGAAUUCCGCGUGUAGCAGUGAAAUGCGUAGAUAUCUGGAGGAACACCGGUGGCGAAGGCGGCAUCCUGGACCAAUUCUGACGCUGAGUGAGCGAAAGCCAGGGGAGCAAACGGG